UACGAAUGGGCUCCAUGGUAUAGCUAUCUGGGGUAUCAAUGUUCAAAUAGGGCAAGUACCGAAUGAACCGGCUUUCGUGUCUUUGCAGGGGAAAGUCAAGCGUUUCAACAUGGGGCCAUAGUCUAAAGGCAGCAGGUGGAUAACCAGGUUCCUCCAAUGCACAGUGGUGAGAUUGGUCUCGUCACAGAUACAAAUUCAGGACUCUUUUUACAAG